AGUCACUGUGCACUUACUCCCCAUGUAGGAUCUCUGUCCUUAAUGUGUUGUACUAUGCAAAUUAACGUUUCAACAAGCUACUUCUACAACACAAACACUGAGCACACCAAAUCUUGCAAGUCAAUGUUUACAUUACAUUCUACGGCGUGUGUUUUGCAAUGCUCACAGUUUAAAAUGAGCUGCAGGCUCACCAAAGGAGAAGUAACAGAGAAAGAAAGUCAGUGGAUAACAAAGACAAAGGAAGAAAAGGCAAAAAUCUCAGGAGAAAGUUGAGGGUAAAGAAGAGGAAAGUGGGUCAACUCAUUUUAUGGGACAUCCUCACCUCUGAAGAAUCAGGGAUACCUGAAAAAGUCAUCUCCCAGGGAAUGUGCUUAAAUUUUUGAAAAUUAAAGAUCCAGUCAA